rnacentral:pre_miRNA from 2 species
AGGGACGGGACGCGGUGCAGUGUUGUUUUUUCCCCCGCCAAUAUUGCACUCGUCCCGGCCUCC